AGCCAGCGCAGACUGGUGUGCCCCAGCCAUCUCUGGGCGAGUACCUUUUUGAGAGGCUCACUCUCAAGCAUGACUAGAAGG
rnacentral:pre_miRNA from 1 species